rnacentral:lncRNA from 1 species
UUUUUUUUUUUUCCCCCUCUUCAAAAUAACCUAAGAAACUACAUGCUGGAGCUGAGCUCCUAAAUUGCCCAUCUUUUAACUCUUAAAAUAAUUCUUAUUUUAAUUGCCCACAAUUCUGUAAAGCUGCAUUGUUUAAACACACAUAAACCAGAUGUGAAAUCUGAGUACUAGCUUUUGAACUACUGAUGCCUUGUAUAUUAGUACCAUUUUCCUGUCUUUAUACAGCACAUUUUUCCUAAAAGCAACACUGUUGAACAUGUCAACAUUCAAAAAAUCUCAAGUCAAUUUGAGGAAUUUAAGUAACUUCAGCAAUGUAGGAACAUGGAUGUAUUUCCUAGUGGCAGCUGAUGAAAUGGUGUUUAUCAUAAAUGUUGUAAUACACUGAACCAAGUGUUCUGGCUACUGUAAGAGUAUCCCAAAGAGACCGUUAUGUUAACAGACUACCAAAUCCUCUAUUCCAGCUCAAAUACAUGACAAAAUCCCAAUAAAAACAAGCUCCAUUAUGCCAGCUUAUAUCAAGGCAGGAAAACUUCCUGACUUUAUCACCGGUGAUCACUGAAAAGCCAACAAUAAAGGGCCUUCUUGGUUUAAUAUGUUUAAACCUAAGUCCUAAACAUUCAUGAAGUUGACAGAUGAUUUUUCUGUAUCUCCUGUUCUAGUGGCAUAUCCACACAGAGAUACUCUGAAGUACUGUAAUGAUAAAUGUAAUUGCUUUAAUCUUUCUUAGGUACCCCUAUGUAGACAUACUCACAGGGAGACACACACAGUUCAUUUCUCAGCCUCCAAGAUCCCAGCCUGGAAAAUACCUACCACACUACUAUGAUGUACAAAAUCCUGCAAACCUGGUUUACAUUUUUACUAGCUUAUCUCAGUACUUGCGUAGGCAAACCCUAAAAUAAAAGUUUAGCAGAGCCAAUGUAGGAGAGGUUAUAUUAUUCCAGCAGAUCAUGUAUCAUAGAAUAGUUAGGGUUGGAAAGGUUGGGCAGGGAUGCAUCACUGAAAUAAUAGAAAUUUCCUUCUAUGAAUACAGAAACAGAUGUCCUGAUCAAGAUAAUAUAAAUAAGAACCCAAUCAGGUUUCCAAUUUAAAAGUUUUACUAGAUUCUUGUAAAAUUGUUGCUACACAGAAAACAUGCAGCCAUGUCCCACUCAACAAACGAAUUUAACCAUAUUUCCAAAGCUACCACAAGAUUAAAUUACUACAAAUAAUAUUUAAUAGGAAAUACUCUUGCCGAAAACAUAAUUAUGCAUUCACAUCUGCUUCCUAGUUCUAAACUGUACCACUUUUCUUCCUUGCCCACAGAUCCAAAAUUAUUGGAUCACAGUGGUCUGUGAAAAUAAUAAGCUGAAUCACCUGUUCG